rnacentral:lncRNA from 1 species
CAGCUCCUGCAGUUUCCCAGUCGCAAUGCAGCAAAGCAGAAGCAGACAACUAGGCACAAAGCAACAGAGUUUUAAAGUUUUCUUCUCCUGCUACUACUUAGCAUGUCUUACAUGAGGAGUAUUUACCUUUGUUUAGCCAGGAGCAGAGAUGCAUCCUGAAUGUACACGAUGGCUUCUAACUUGGCAGCGUGAAUUUUCAGCUGAGCAGGUACUGCUCGGAGACUUGUAACCAAACCGCCUCUGAUGGAGCACGGCUGGUCUCCCACCAUGUGUGUGAAUAGUUUGGGGGCUUCUUAUGCCACGCUGCUCUACCUGCAGGAAUAAAGGCUAGGACAAAGGAGAGGAUGCUUGCUAUGGUUUGUCUGGCUGGGGCCUGUGCGAGCGACUCACCGCACUGAUGCUGUGUGACUCCCCAGCUCACAUUUAAGGCUGGUCACGGGGCUGGCGCAGAUCCCCACUCCUCAGUUAGCGCACGGUUUAAAGGAGAAACCAGACUCCCUGACCUAAAUCACUCCCAGUCCUCUCUGGAUGCGGGACAGCUGUCGACUAGCAGUGACACAACCAGCCAUCAAGUGGAGAAUCGUUGCGACUGCAGUCUGUGUGCAGGUGGAGCCCGGGAGAAUGACAGUCUAAUUUCGGUCAUCCAACGGCUUUUCCUUAUUUUCCUAAAUAAUCGUGCUCGCUAAGUAUACAGUUGUCUGGAUUAGCCUGCCUGCCAUGCAGUCCUCAUCAACUCUGGCUGGAAAUCAGGGUGCCAGGCAAGCCGCCUUUAGCCCUGGCUCCUUUCUGCGUGAUGCUAUGCAGCUAGGAUGGGUCAUGCUGACAACAAAGAAGGAAGCAGAAAGCAUCACUUUCUCUUCUCUUGUGAUGUUAGCGGAACAUAACUCUUCUUCGCAGUGAUGCCCUUGUGUGUGGUGUAUGUGUGUGUGUGUGUGUGUGUGUUUUAAUUCAUCUAAUCGAAGAGCCCAACAAAUAUCAUCAUGGAUGUGAUUUUUAAUAAUUUGGAAAAAACAAAAAAAGACAGCCUGUGGAGACAGCGAUUCGAAACAGCGGCACAUUUAGGUUAUUGCCAAUUUGAAAUACUUGGUUUGUGAAGCUGAGCCCUAAGGGACAAGCUCGGUAACUGAGGAAGAGAUCGUAGAUAAAGAAAUAAAAAUGACAAGCGUAAUGGAGGCUCUGCGAAGGGACUGUCAGAGCAUCAGUUCAUGGAUGGCAAUUUCACCAGGCUGAGAUUGAAUAAUUCAUAGAUUGAAAUUACCCUGCUUUCACCUUUCCAUUUAAGCCGGCAUGAUCUGAAUCUCUCAUAAAUUUUCAAGAUAAAGUAAAAUGCCAAUUUGAAUCUGAAGAGCUUUUAAAACCAGAUGCUGCAUCCCUGAAUCUUUCGGUAUCUUUCACAAUUAUCCUAUGAGAACAGCACUUCAUCACGAAGCACCAUUACCAGGGAAAAUUACGGUGAUUACAAUAGCAACAAUAGAAUACCAUCAAAUGAUCUCUAAUUUACCUAAUUUGCUAAGACUGACUGUACGGUUUUGAUAUCCAUUGUAUGUCACCAUGCCCGGCACCCGUGAAGCUAUCUCGCACUGGAACAAAAGUGGCAUCGUGUGUGUGUGUGUGUAUGUGUGUAUGUGCACGCACACCCUGCUACCUUAACUGUGAAUGCCUAGCAAAGAACAUUCUCCUAGGUUACAAUAUUUCUUUCCUUUGGUUCACAUUUUCGCUUUUUUCCAAUGCCUCUACCCCAAAUGUGUUUGGGGAAAUGGAGAGCCUGUCAUGGGUUGGGAGACUGUUUUUUGAUACAGAAGAGCAUUGACUUGUUAAUUUAUAUACCCUCUUUAUUUUAAUGUAUACAAGCCUGUGUUUACUAAAAGGGAGGGAGGAUGCUGUUCUGGGAGAGUAAUUUUAAAAUGCAGCCGAGAUGUAGCAUAUGUGUUUGUUUCUUCUUUGAAACCCCUGUCUGUCUCUUUCAGGUUAGAAAUCCUUUCAGGGAAGUUUAGUCCUGGUGUGAUGUGUCAAAAACCUCUCAGAUUGCAAAGAAGCUCAGGAGAUACAAUCAGUAAUAACUCUGUACAGCUUUUAUUAAAAGCAUGCAUGUUCAAUUCAGUGAUUAAAUGAAGCUUCGGUACAACUUCGGCUAUGUUUGUGUCUGGUCACUCUGGAGUAGAAGUCUGUACUAAAGAGAACUUUUUGGGACAGGCUGCACGGUUCAUCUCAGGGUAAUUGUGCCAUCCUGAGAAGGUGGCAUGGAUCAUCAAUCCUCCCUGGAGAACAGACUGUAAUCAUUAAUAGGCACAAUGGCUUCUGGAAUUUUACUUUCAAUAGUGUGAAGGUAGUAUGUGGGUUUCUGCUAGUCAAGUGAUUUAAGUGUGAUUAUCGAAGGUAGGGCUUCAGAGGUAUGACCACCAUCUGGGAGGAAGCUUUACCCCUUCCCUUAUCCUGUGACCCAACAAAUACCUUUGUCAGAGCAGGUUCUCUUACAAGACCACCAACAUUCUUCAAACAUCAGUGAAAUAAAACAGGAGGAGGGUUUCGAGCUCUGGAUCCUCAGCCUGGAAAUGUCACAAUUUAAUCCCAAAGGUUUGCUGUGAAGUUGUAAGCAUGACAGUGUGAAACUCGACAGAUUAUUCUUGAAUUCUUUGUUUGUUUUCGUUGUGACCCGACUCUCAUAAAAUUUAUGUUUUCUUCCAAACCCCCAGGGUGUGUGGUCAUAUGACUUAAAUAGAGAAAAACAUUGUCAAAACAGUAUUGAGGAGUUAUCACUUUUACAUUGUUUUAAUUAAAGAAAAAGCCUUUCUAUCCAGGUCUAAUACCAUCAUUUUUAUGGGCAUGUUAAAGUAUCUAAUCUAAUACUGUAGUUAGUAGUAGUAUUUAGUAUUUUUAGUAUUAUUAUAGUUUUAUCUGUAUCUUAAAGAAAAAGUCAAUAAAUAUGAAAACAGAGUUUGUUUUGGGAAUGUAUGCAAGUGCCCUCCAUGUUAAAAUCAUUUCAAUUUUGUGUGCAUGCACACGUGCACACACACACACACACACACACACACGGAGAAGAUCAGUGAAUAUCCUAUUCACAAAUGUUACAAGGAUUAUCUCAGGGUGGUGGGAUGAAGA